rnacentral:sRNA from 1 species
CCAGGUUAGUUGAUCUUAUGGUGUCAUCUAGAAAAACAAGAGAUGCAGAUUCUGGGUCACGAAGUUGAGGCUGUGAAGCUGGGCAGGGUUUCAGCUGAGCUGAGGUUGGAAGUCCCUGACCUUCAGCUGUGACCGCCUACGGAGCAGCAGGGAGAGCAAACCCAUGGAGAACCCCGCAGCCCCCAAAGCGUGGACAGAGCUGCCAGCCUUCUCCCCUGCCCUUCUUCUACUCCCGACCUGCCAACCUUAGCGUAAAAUCAGAGCUGCUAGAAUCACACACACUGUCGUAGCUGGUUUUGUAUUGUAAAUGAGUCAUUCUGUUAUUUUGGAAACUUACGUCUCAUGCCAGGAUCUGCAGAUAGUUUUUUUCAAAAUA